AGUACCGCGAACGUAUUUUACCUUUCUAUAAUUCUAAUUAGAAAAUACUUGUAUUAAUUAAAAACGGGAAAGCAACAAUGAACUAACGCCACUGAUGUGGUGCAACUGACUAGAUUGGAACAGUGGAACUAAAACUGCAAUGGAAAAUGGUGCGCGGUGCGUCAGUUAUAAAUACUUUGAAUCGUGAAUUUACAACUAAAUUUUUGUUCCGUCGUUAAAUAUUGUGAAUUAUAAUUGAUUUUUACAUCUCGUGAAAUUAUAAAUUUAUGUUAGUCAUUUUUAUUUGUAUCAUAUUUUUGCAAUUAAAAAUUGAAGAAAUAACGGACAGAAAAACAAGAUGGUUGUCGCAUAAGUGUCAUUGUUGAUUCUCUUUGCUUGUCUAGUAAUUUUGGUUUUUUCUCUUUUAAUCUUUGACAAUAAGUCAACAUAAAUAUUAUAUUUAUUAUUUAUUCGAGGAGUAAAAGAACUAACGAAGUAACAAUUUAUAUAUGCUUACAUAAUUUUAGAUAUAUCAUCAGCUCGUGGAUACCGGCCGGUUUUUUCGCGCACUUUCUUCCUUGCAGUUAAUAGAAAUCAGAAUAGACAGUGUUUUACAGGAAUAAAGUUUUUAUUUGUAAAAAUAAUUGUUCGUGACUUUUAUAACUUUGCAGUGUCGUAUAUAAUUGUCAAAUCUCAAUAUUUUUCGUGUCAGUCAGUGUAAAUUCGUCGUGUUUACAUAUGUUGGUGUCAAUUUACAUUGAUAUUUUUUUUCUAUUUUUUGGUUAAUUGUUGUUUUAUCGAGAAUAACGUUUAUUCAUUUAUUUUCUAAAGUUGCAUAUCAUGUCUCAAAAGCCACGUAAUUUUGGGGGUAUCGUGCGUGUGUUAGUAUUUUAUUUAAAUGCGGGUUUAAAAAUAUUUAUUGUUUUUCUGUCAAGUAAUAGUAUUCAAUUUUAUGAAUAUCGAGUGCGUGAGUGUUUCUUGAAAAAAAAAAGAUGGUUGAUGUAAAUUAACUUCAAAUUUCCAAAGCAGACUAUGAUGCAGAAAAAAAGGAUAAUAAAAUUUCCAGUCUCAGCCAUUGAUUCGACAAGGGAAUAAUUCACAAUCGAUUCUAUCCUCGAUAUAAGGACACAGAAUUCUUUAUAUUCAGACUUUUUAGAACUCGGUCUAUUUUUUACGGUUAUUUUUCACAUUUUCUGAAUGGAAAAUUUAACUUGAAAGUAGGGAUCUCCGAGGGCUAAUUAGUUUGAAAGAAUCUCCUUGAAGCUGAAAAUUCGUCAUUAAGAUGCAGCAGGGAGGAAAAACUAGAUGCAGCAAAAGGUUCAUCGAAGG